CCUGCGCUGGGACACGGCCCUGGGCCUCGCCCUGCUGCCCGCAGGCGGACUCGGGGAGGAGCCGGGGCAUAAAAGGGUAACUGUAGAGAUGCAAACUUGUCGAAGGCAUGAAUCAUACCCAUUUUCCCAUGGUUUGCACCUUUCACUGAACUCCAGAGAGCCACUGUAACUCUAUUUGUUAUUCAAGCUAUGUCAUUAUCUCCCCAUGUUGCCACAAAUGGGUCAUUCUGUUUGGCUACUUCAGGCUCCCUGUUAUGCAAAGAGCAACAAGACCACUCAUCCAUGUUUUAAAAAAUUCUGAGGAAAUAAAAUUGGAUUUACUUAUUAAAAAAUCAGACUGAUUCUGAAAUUCCAGACUGAAAUCUAUAAAAGUACUUCUACUGAAAUAAAAUUAAUUAUAAUAAAUAUUAUUCCUAGUAAGAAUUUAAAUGCAUAUAGUUAUAUAUAACUUAUUUAGAUUGGCGCUUUUCAUUAAGUGUAUAAAAUAAUUUUACUUCAUAUCUUUAUUUAAAGUUGACAGUAAAGCCAAAUGAACUUGUCACAAAAUUUUGUUCCUGUUGUUGGAGACUAGCAUGUCUUUGAAAGUCUGCUAGUGUGGUGACAGAUUCUAAAAAGUGCCUGUUAAUAUAACAUGUUUGUGAACUUCACCCAGUACAUAAUUAUUUAUUAAGUUCCUUAGACUAGGGAGAAAAUUAUAAAAUUUAUAAAACCUAUUGUCUUGAGUCAUAGACCAGAGUCAUCUUGUGCACAGAGUUCAGAGAUCCCUGCUAUGUCUUUCAGCUUCAGGUAAAGACAUCCUUAACCACAGGGACUUGGAACAGUCUAUGUCUUCACACUUCCAUAGGAAUUAGUACCUCCAGCAUAAGAAUGUGAAAAAACCUAGCUUAAGAUAUGGUGUUUGGCACAUAAACCUUUCCAAGAUUACAGGAAUAUCAUGGUGUCUGAAUUUGUCUUGCAAUUUUGUAGUCAGCCACUACUGACAUAGAUAUGGUAUAGGACAUAUAUUUUGUUUAAAACUCAUACAAUGUAUUUUUGGCUAGCAAUGAGUACUUUCUGCAAUUAAUGCAGCAAGCAGUUUAUUGUCAAAGAAGUUAAAAAAAUUGUAUGACAAUGGUAGACUCUUAAAAGAAUUAGUUCGUACCAAUGCUGCCAUAACAGCAAAUAGCAAAAACUUGAACAUUUAACUAUAUUUUCUAAAAUAUUAGCAAAUGUGCUUGAGAAAAACUCUGUAGAGA